AAAGCCUCCCGGCUUCUCAUUCUCCGGACCUUUGUCAGUCGUCAGCUCGCCCUCCACACAGCCAUCUUACCUGUCCGUCCUCCCACGGCCCCUUGGUUCUCCUCGCCGCCUCCGGAUUCCUAUCUGCUCCAACAAGUAACUCUCGCUGCUCAAAAUGGCUGUCCUGGUGGUUCCGAUYCUGAUUCCUGCUCCACACUCACUCCCGUUCCCCUUCCCCUYUACAAUAAACUAUAUUGUUGUUUUGAAAUACGCA